UGGUUUGAAAUCAGCAUAGGCAUUAUAAUGCGUUACUAUUCGUGUUAGGAUUGGUGUUGACAAGUGGUUACUUGUUCCUUCCAUGUAGGAUGUGUUUUCCAUUGGUGAUUGCAAUGGGUUUCUUGAAAGUACUGGAAAACCAACCCUUCCAGCUUUUGCUCACGGUUGCAGAGUGACAGGAGAAAUAUCUAUUGCAUCUAUUAAAUAGGAUUGGUAACGCUGGUGGAGGUCAUGCCAAUGGAGCAAAUGACAUGGAACUCGAAGAUCCAUUUGUUUACAAGCAUUUUGGAAGCAUGGCAACCAUUGGCAAAUACAAUGCUCAAUCUCGUAGGUCUUAGGCAGAGCAAGGAGGCCAAAGGAUUAUCCAUGGCAGGAUUUUUCAGUUGGCUUAUUUGGCGGUCAGCAUAUUUGACUCGUGUUUUUAAGCUGGAGGAACAGAUUUUAUGUGGCAAUCAACUGGCUUAUACAACCUUGGUGUUUGAUCGUGACAUUUGCAGAAUCUAGAUUUUGGAAUUAAAGGUAAGCAGUCAUGGCACGUUUCCUUGGGAUAUGUUGAGCAGAGUGCAAAUGAGUAUGUCGACUGCCUUCAUGGUGUGAGUCCAUUUGAAUUCGAAGAUUUGAUAAUAAUGGACGUUUUUCUGGCACAGGCGUGAAGUGAAGAAUACAGUGAACAUGACUACGAUGAAUACCUAUUGUUGUUUUUGUUUUACUCCCAUAACAACCCACAUACUUUUCUUAAUAAAGUUUAGGUGCAGCUUAUAUGAUACAUACAAUUAAGAUUUUUUUUGAUUUGACCUCCCAUGUAUCUGUUGUUCGUUCAUAUUGAAGUUGGCUGUUGUUUUUAAGCCCUGUUUUAGUUUCUUCAAGUAUCAUCUAUUCUCCCCAGCUUUUGGAAUUGAUACUUGUCAUGAGUCCUUGUACUUUUAAUAAGGUUAUAUAGAUGGCAUAUAUUGCACAGAGCUCCUCCUGGCCCCAAAAUUGCUUCAGCAGAAAAUAAGAAAGGUGUCCAUACAGAGUGCAUUUUGGAAAUCCC